AAAUGCGAUAAUUAAUGUGAAUUGCAGAAUUCAGUGAAUCAUCGAGUCUUUGAACGCACAUUGCGCCCCCUGGUAUUCCGGGGGGCAUGCCUGUCCGAGCGUCAUUGCUGCCCUCAAGCACGGCUUGUGUGUUGGGCUUCCGUCCCUGGCAACGGCGACGGGCCCAAAAGGCAGUGGCGGCACCAUGUCUGGUCCUCGAGCGUAUGGGGCUUUGUCACCCGCUCCCGUAGGUCCAGCUGGCAGCUAGCCUCGCAACCAAUCUUUUUAACCAGGUUGACCUCGGAUCAGGUAGGGAUACCCGCUGAACUUAAGC
rnacentral:misc_RNA from 1 species